AUUGAACGCUGGCGGUAUGCUUAACAUGCACGUCGAGAAGUACCAGGCAUUAGGGUCUUGCUGUUACGGGAAGGGGUGGGCGGUCGAUUGGGAAGUGCAUCGGGGUGUGGUUUUACGUGGGGGAUAACGUACUGAAACUUACGCUAAUACCGCAUUCAACGUGCGGGUGCAAGCGGCGGUGCUUCGCACCGUGCGUUUGUGAAGGCGGCGAUGUCAGAUUAGCUAGUUGGCGGGGUAAAGGCCCACCAAGGCGACGAUCCGUAGCUGGUCUGAGAGGAUGACCAGCCACACUGGAACUGAGACACGGUCCAGACUCCUACGGGAGGCAGCAGUGGGGAAUAUUGGACAAUGGGCGCAAGCCUGAUCCAGCAAUACCGCGUGCGUGAAGAAGGCCUUCGGGUUGUAAAGCCCUUUUGUUGGGAAAGAAAAGGAGCAGGUUAAUACCUCGCUGUUAUGACGGUACCCAAAGAAUAAGCACCGGCUAACUUCGUG
rnacentral:rRNA from 1 species